GUCUUUAAUACUGAUUGGACCCUGGGCAGGCAUUUGCUUGAGCCCCCUGGGCCUAGCAUGAAAUCACACACUCCACCCCCACAUAAAAACAAAACAAAAACACACUUAGCCGCACUCAUUUUUACGGAGACAAAAUACACACACUGACACACAUACAGAUGCAGACACUGACAUACAUAGAGAUACACACAUACACAGGUACAGACAAACAAAGACAGAUACAUAUACACACAAGUGCAUACACAGACACACAUGCAGAUACACAUCUACACACAUCCAGAUGCACAGAUACACUCACUGACAAACAUACAGAUAAACAGACCAAUACAAUGACAAACAUGCAGAUACUCACAAUAACACACAUAUACAUACACAGACCCACAUGCAGAUACAGACACAAUAACACACAUUGACACACACACUAACACACAUACAGAUACACAGACACACAAGCAGAUACACAUUUAGAUACACACACUGACACACAUACAGACAAACAUUUACACGCACAAAUACACAUUCAAACACACACAGAUAAACAUACAAAGAAACAGAUGCGCAUGAAGACACACAGUUACACAGGUACAAACAGAUACAGAGACACAGAUAGGCAUACGGACACACAGAUACAUAUAUGCAUACAGACACAGAUACACAUACAGACACAAAGACAGAUACACAAAUGGACACACAGAUACAGACACACAAAAACAGAUACACAUACAAACAUGCAACACCCUCCUGUUUCCUACCUUUUAGGUGCAGGAGGGUGAC